rnacentral:lncRNA from 1 species
GAAAAUGCCCUUAUUUCCCUUGUUAAUAAAAAAAACUAUUUACACAAAUGCCAUUAAUUUUUUUUACAUCACAAAAAAAAUAAGUUAUUUUCUAAAUAUAUAAAUAAGUAUGCUAUUAAAAAUCUGCGAUACUUGACGACAGAUUUAUUAGUAUCUAACAGAUUUAUUUGUUUACGCAUACUUAUUAUGGCAAACUUAAAAUCGUUAGAGACUUUCAGCAAUAACUUUACCACACGUAAUAGUAGAUUUAAUUACGUUAGGAGGUUUAUUUUUAAUUGACAGACUUUUAUGGCAGGUUUUUUUUCUGGCAGGUUUAUAAUAUGUGGUAGAAUUUCAUAAUAACAUUUCGUAGACUUUUUAUAAUUUGGCAGAUUUUCCUAUUCAUGAGAUCGCAGACUUAUAUUUUCUUUGUUCAUAAACAACAAACUUUCUGAAUAAGUAUGUUUCAUU